AGCGAACGCUGGCGGCAGGCCUAACACAUGCAAGUCGAACGAAGUCGUCGUCGUCAUUCGCGUUCGGGUUGGGAGCCCGACGGAACGUUCCUUUUGGUGCGGCCUAACCCCGUCUAAUGGGUACUAAUACCGAAUGGGCGCUACUGCGGGAAGAUUUAUCGCCAUUAGAUCGGUGGGCGGCUGAUGAGCUAGUUGGGGAGGUAACGGCACACCCAGGCGAAGAUCAGUAGCUGGCAUGAGAGGAUGACCAGCGACCCUGGGACUGAGACACGGACCAGACUCCUACGGGAGGCAGCAGUGGGGAAUCUUGCGCAAUGGGGGAAAGUCUGACGCAGCCAUGCUGGGUGAAUGAUGCAGGUCCGAGGAUUGUAAAAGUCUUUUACCGGUGACGAUAAUGACGGUACCUGGAGAAGAAGCCCCGGCUAACUUCGUG
rnacentral:rRNA from 1 species